ACGCUGGAUGCCCAGGAAGUACUGUCGAGCAUGCUCGGAUUCCUCUGCAGUCAGUGGAACACAGUUACAGGCUUAAUUUCUCAUCUGAUGUAAGCCGUCAGCUGCUUCUUUACUUUGUCUUUAUGGACUCAAAAACCUCUGAAACUGCAACUGAAACUAAACUCACUGGAAAAUAAAAACCCCAAAAAACCAUGGAAGUAGACAGGGGAAGAGCUGGGCAAAAGGAAAUCGCCAG